AACGAACGCUGGCGGCAGGCUUAACACAUGCAAGUCGAACGCAUCGCAAGAUGAGUGGCAGACGGGUGAGUAACGCGUGGGAACAUACCCUUUUCUACGGAAUAGCUCUGGGAAACUGGAAUUAAUACCGUAUACGCCCUACGGGGGAAAGAUUUAUCGGGGAAGGAUUGGCCCGCGUUGGAUUAGCUAGUUGGUGGGGUAAAGGCCUACCAAGGCGACGAUCCAUAGCUAGUCUGAGAGGAUGAUCGGCCACAUUGGGACUGAGACACGGCACAAACGCCUACGGGGGGCAGCAGUGGGGAAUAUUGGACAAUGGGCGCAAGCCUGAUCCAGCCAUGCCGCGUGAGUGAUGAAGGACUUAGGGUUGUAAAGCUCUUUCACCGAUGAAGAUAAUGACGGUAGUCGGAGAAGAAGCCCCGGCUAACUUCGUGCCAGCCGCCGCGGUAA
rnacentral:rRNA from 1 species